UUUUUAUCUUUCUUUUCGCCCUUCUCUUUCUUUUUGUCUGAUUUUUUGGAUUUCUUCUCACUUUUUUUCGACUUCGAGAAUGCAGGGAGGUAGGCAGC
rnacentral:ribozyme from 17 species